AGCAACCCAAAGCCUCCGCCUUUCUCCCCCCCUUUCCGCCCAAACAAACCGCCCCCUCCCCCUCCCCCUCCCGUCGCCCUCACCUCCUCCUUCGCCGGCAGUAUACUACUACCACUCCCCGCCACCAGCUCCGACGACCCGCGCCUNCCGCCCGCCCGCGCACCGUCGUCUCCCGUCCCCCCGCCGCGGUGAGUGCUCCGAAUUUCCGCUCCUCCGGCCCUUUACCUUUCGGCACGGAGCGCACGGCCCUCGCUCCCGCACGCGUCGUGCUGGCCUUCUGCGGGUUUUUUGGUUGCCCGUGCGGUGCUAGGGGAUCCCUGUGAGUGAUCCCGGUCGCCCCGGCGUUUCUGGGCCGAGUUUUGGUUUGCGCCGCAGGGGAAGAAGGGGCCGCGGGUAAUGUCAGGGACGGACGGACGAUCCCCGCGGGCUGGAAUCUGAUUUGUUUGUCUUCUUCUAAUCUACCUCUCGUUCCUGAUUGUUCACGACUUGGUUGCCCUUUGUUCCGCCCAUGUACUGAAUCCUCCCAGAGGGGGGGAUCAGAAUGGAUUGAAAAAAAAGAGAAAGGACUGUUGCGUGAAGAUACUACCAGAAGAGAAUUUCUAUUGUCUAUUGGCUAGAUACCACUCGCAGAAGAGAAUUUCUUUCUCGCAAGCCACGAAUGCGUAAAGCGACGUUUGCGCCUUUCCCUCUGCUUUUCGUUGUUCUUGAUAGCUUAGUCCUGAGUUCUGCGACGGAAUUUCUCUUGGAAUUUUGAUGCGUUGGUGUGUGUGUCGCGGGAGAUGCCGUGAAAGUGAAAGCUCGGCUUGAUGGACGUACAUUUACUUGUGGUAAUAAUUGCUUUUCUGGUAACUGCCUAGAGUAGGCAAGGAAAAGAUCUCACUAUAAAUUUGGGCUUCUGCUGACUUUUCUUGUGUCUAUAAGCUACUCCCUCCCUUCCAAGAUACAUGACGUUUUAGAUAUGGACACAAUCUCUAAUAUGCAACUUUGAUUAUCGUUUUUUUAAUCGUAUAAAUAUUUUUUCUAAAAUUAUUUUCCAUUGCCAAUCUAAUGGUUCGAUUUCUAUGAAUAAAUCUAAGCAUUUUUUAGAAUUACUUGUCAAAGAUAAAGGAGAUAGUAGUGUCGUAUGCUUGUGAGCAACUGGAGGAGGCGGACGUUGGCUUAUGGCGUACGCGGUCUGGCUUUAAUGAGAGGAAGAUAUCCAGCUGGUUGUAUUUUGUAUGCAUAAUUAUUUCAGGCUCCCUAUAUCUAAAAAAUGGAAGAUAAUCGCUUGUCGUCUUCUAUCAUGGCUGAAUGUCUGAAUCAGUUACCACUCUAUCUAACAGAAUCUAUUGCUGAAUUGACUGUAGAAUAAAGCAGGAANNN
rnacentral:lncRNA from 1 species